AGAGUUUGAUCAUGGCUCAGAGUGAACGCUGGCGGCGUGGUUUAGGCAUGCAAGUCGAGCGAUCCUUUUUUUGUGGAAGAUACUUAAGAAAGCUUGCUUUCGAGAGUUGAUUUCACGUCGGGAUAGCGGCAAACGGGUGAGUAACGCGUGAACAACUUUCCCUAAAGACGAACACAGCAUCGUGAAAAUGAUGGUAAUAUUCGAUAUGGCCUUCGAAAUACAUGUUUCGAUGGUUAAAGGCGGGGACCGUAAGGCCCGCCACUUUAGGAUGGGUUCGCGACCUAUCAGCUUGUCGGCGGGGUAAUGGCCCACCAAGGCGUUUGACGGGUAGCUGGUCUGAGAGGAUGGUCAGCCACACUGGGACUGAGACACUGCCCAGACUCCUACGGGAGGCUGCAGUCGAGAAUCUUUAGCAAUGGACGAAAGUCUGACUAUGCGACGCCGCGUGCAGGAUGAAGGCCUUCGGGUUGUAAACUGCUUUUGUUAGGAAAGAAACCCCUGAGCAUAAUACGUUCAGGGUUGACGGUACCUAGCGAAUAAGCCACGGCCAACUCCGUGCCAGCAGCCGCGGUAAUACGGAGGUGGCGAGCGUUACUCGGAAUCAUUGGGUGUAAAGGGCAAGUAGGCGGCCUGAUAAGUGAGGGGUGAAAUCUUCCGUCACAAUCGGAAAACUGCCUUUCAAACUAUCAGGCUUGAGGCUGGAAGAGGGAAAUGGAAUUAGCAGUGUAAGGGUGAAAUCUGUAGAUAUUGCUAAGAACACCGGCGGCGAAGGCGAUUUCCUGGUCCAGAUCUGACGCUGAAUUGCGAAAGCUAGGGUAGCGAACAGAAUUAGAUACUCUGGUAGUCCUAGCCGUAAACGAUGAGCACUAGGUGUUGGGACUUCGGUCUCAGUGCCGCAGCUAGCGCAUUAAGUGCUCCACCUGGGGACUACGGCCGCAAGGCUAAAACUCAGAGGAAUCGAUGGGGACCCGCACAAGCGGUGGAACAUGUGGUUUAAUUCGAUGCUACGCGAAGAACCUCACCAGGACUUGACAUGUAAGAAGUAGUGAACCGAGAGGGGAACGACCCGUAAAGUCCGGGAACUUACACAGGUGCUGCAUGGCUGUCGUCAGCUCGUGUCGUGAGAUGUUGGGUUAAGUCCCGCAACGAGCGCAACCAUUGCCCCAUGUUGCUAAUCUUAUUAUCUUGCUUGCAAGUAGUAAGAAGCACUCUUGGGGGACUGCCUGGAAUAACCAGGAGGAAGGCGGAGAUGACGUCAAGUCAGUACGGCCCUUAUGUCCUGGGCUACACACGUGUUACAAUGGCUGGUACAAAGGGUUGCCAACCCGCGAGGGGGAGCUAAUCUCAAAAAGCCAGCCCCAGUUCGGAUUGGAGUCUGCAAUUCGACUCCAUGAAGCCGGAAUCGCUAGUAAUGGAAGAUCAGCUCGCUUCCGUGAAUACGUUCCCGGGUCUUGUACACACCGCCCGUCAAGCGAUGAAAGCUGGGGGUACCCGAAGUCCUAUGUAGAUAGGCCGAAGGUAAAACCGGUGAUUGGCGCUAAGUCGUAACAAGGUA
rnacentral:rRNA from 1 species